UGGGGGAUAUUGCACAAUGGGCGCAAGCCUGAUGCAGCGACGCCGCGUGGGGGAUGAAGGCCUUCGGGUUGUAAACUUCUUUUGCUCUGAACAAGGCGCACUUUGGGGUGUGUUGAGUGUAGGGGUUGAUUAGCGCCGGCUAACUACGUGCCAGCAGCCGCGGUAAUACGUAGGGCGCGAGCGUUGUCCGGAAUUAUUGGGCGUAAAGGGCUUGUAGGUGGCUGGUUGCGUCUGUCGUGAAAGCUCAUGGCUUAACUGUGGGUUUGCGGUGGGUACGGGCUGGCUUGAGUGCAGUAGGGGAGGCUGGAAUUCCUGGUGUAGCGGUGGAAUGCGCAGAUAUCAGGAGGAAUACCGGUGGCGAAGGCGGGUCUCUGGGCUGUUACUGACACUGAGGAGCGAAAGCAUGGGGAGCGAACAGG
rnacentral:rRNA from 2 species